UGGGGAAUUUUGCACAAUGGGGGAAACCCUGAUGCAGCGACGCCGCGUGAUUUAGAAGGCCUUCGGGUUGUAAAAAUCUUUUCUAUGGGAAGAAAAUGACAGUACCAUAGGAAUAAGGACCGGCUAAUUACGUGCCAGCAGCCGCGGUAAUACGUAAGGUCCGAGCGUUGUCCGGAAUCAUUGGGCGUAAAGGGUACGUAGGCGGGUAAGCAAGUUAGAAGUGAAAUCCUAUAGCUCAACUAUAGUAAGCUUUUAAAACUGCUCAUCUUGAGGUAUGGAAGGGAGAGUGGAAGUCCUAGUGUAGCGGUGAAAUGCGCAGAUAUUAGGAGGAAUACCGGUGGCGAAGGCGACUUUCUGGCCAUAACCUGACGCUGAGGUACGAAAGCGUGGGUAGCAAACAGG
rnacentral:rRNA from 1 species